rnacentral:lncRNA from 1 species
UCCUUUCAUUGCUUAAUUGCAUGCUAUGAAGUAUAUCGGUAAGUAGCAUUGACAAAGGAUAGUAAGGAAAAAAGUAUAUAAACACGAAAUCAAGGGUGAUAAUCGUAAUAGUGUCAUGAAUGUCUGAAUAAAUGCAGGUUUUGGAGUACCUUACCUUUUCUUAUGAGAUCUCCUUUUGCUUUUUGGUUGUGGUGGGUUUUUCUUU